CAUAUUAGGAGUGACUGCUUAGCCCGACCACUGCUUGAUGGCAGCGUUGGGCAUGGUCGGCAAUUAUUGCCUCUGACAAUGGUUCCGGAAAGCCAUCUGGUGGUCGAUAGUGAGUACUUACCAGUAGCUGGGCAUGUCUAAUGUCUGGUGUAAACACGUCCCUCAAGUCCCCGGUCAAGAAUUCUCUUAAGUGGGGAGUUUGUCUCAUUAAGCGACCGAUAUAGUUCGUGAAGUGAUUCAAGAUUAAUAGGAACCUAAAGGGAGCAAAGAAGCCAUGAACCAUGACGUACUGAUACAAAGGACUAACUUUGAUCACCCUUUGGCAAGAAAUUACAAGAGAAGUUCAUGGAAAUCGCUGUGCAAGACAGUUGCUGCAAAGCAGAAAACUGCAGUUUCAAAAUCAGCUUUUCGGGAACAGUUUUGGGGAGCGUUUCUUGCAUUCUUCCAACUACAUCUUUGCAAAUAGAGCCAUAAUCCUAAAUAUAUGAUGUUUUCAACAUGAAUGAAAGAACUAGUCAGAAGCGUUAAUGAGGCAGCAGGAAAUCAAGCUCAAAACAGGUUUCCUAAGAAGGCAGAAACGGUCAGCUUUUCAAGAAGCUUUUUGGGAGAUCUUUUCCGGCAAAUUACUGAAGUUUUUUAGAAGUUUAUUGAUUAUUCUAGACAACAUGAUGUCAUAGAUCAUGGAUAAUCAAGAACCAUCUGCUGGAAGCACGGCAAUAUCAAGUCAAUCCUUGUCUUAUAAUGGCCAUGUAAAAAAAUCUCUUAACCAAAAAACAAUCAGAAAAAUCAGGUGUUAAUUGAAAAAGUAAUUGGUCUGGGCUUCAGCUUCUGCUCAGAAGCGAGGCCCCGUAGGGCAAGUAUAAAAGAAGAGCCACCGAUGGAAGCUAGAGAUAGAGAUAGCGGCGAACCCUAAAAUCCCUAAGCUUUUUCUGCAGAGACGCAAUGGUUUCGGUGAAUGGUGUUAUGGCGAUGAUCGGCGCUGCAGGCGCCGGAAUGACUCUGUAUUUGACGUGUGAAGAAAUCUGUCGUAUCGUGAAGACGAGAGCAGAGAAAAGAGCAGAGAAAAGAAGGGCAACAGCACCAUCCCCCUUUGUCAACCUACAGUCACCGUCUGCUGUGAAGCCAUGAAUGAUGCUUCAUAACAAGGAGUCGAGAAGUCUCAUGUGCAGAGUUAUGAUUAGUUAGCAAGAGUGUUGGGUGUGUGUGUCCUGGAUGUCUUUUGGUUCUCGAAACUCAAAACUAUGUUUUUAUUUAUUAUUAUUGUAUAAACUCAAAAGUAUGAGGCUUGAUUCUCUUUUCCUGACAUUGUUAUAUUAAUGAUAAUUAGUGAUUAUGAUUAGUAAACAUCGUUCGUUAACCAA